UGUGAUCGGUGAGCAUUCUACGUGUCUACUGUAAAAUUCAUGGCUUGGAUUGAACGAUUAGGCAAGUCAUGGUGAAUUAUGGAAAAAUAGUUUACAGUUAUAAAUUCAUUACCAGCUUGCCAGACUAUGACUAUGACACAAAAAUGAGGCAUGGCAUUUAAAAGGGCAGUAGUCUUCUGUGAAUCAACAUCCAGCAUGAGCUAAGUGAACUUAAAAAAAUGAAUCUUUUGUAACUGUUUAUAAAUUAUAUUUGAGUUGGUGGUGUCAAUCACAGGAUAUUGGGUUCUGUUUCGCCGUUCUUGGACUGAUACCAUUCACAGCAGUAAAAAGUGUACCACAUCAUAAGUUAUUGACCAAACAAAAACCUGAUAUGGUUGUAGAGAAACGAGCCAUUUACUGUAAUUGUGUGCAGGUUAUCUGAUCGGCCUUCUUCCAUUGGAAUUUCAACCCAUUUUGUCUAGCUCAAACACAUGGCUGGUUAAUUGAAGCUUCAUAAAUUAAUUUUUCUUUUUCUUUUGCAUAGGCGUUGUGGAUACUUGGGAUAUGAAAAAUUGCACCUUCUGAUGUGUCCGUAAAAUGUGGCCUAGCCUAUUUACAUUUCCAGCACUUACCACAUUGAUCCUUACUUUGCUAAUGGCAUUGAACAGCAAUAUGUGGUUUAAAGUUACCUCAUUGACAUUGUAAGUUGGACAAUAUGUAUAUUAUUAAAGAAAUGUUACACCACGGUACAAGCAGGGCAACGAAAAGCAUAACAAUUACUAUUUAUCGAAUUUUAGUAGUUAUCUAUAAAUUACA